GGUGAAAUGUUACUCUACUUGAUAAAAAUUGUAGUAAAACAGGAUUUCCUUUCCCGUCUCUGGUCUUCUAAAUCUCACAGGGGAAGACUCUUGUGUGUUUAAGAAGAACAUGCUAUUUUCUCACUUCCAGCUUGGAAACCAUGAUGGUAAAAAUACCACUUGCAAACCCACGAAAACUCUCUGGGGACUCAAGGGAAGGCCAGGAGACCACAAUCAUAAAUGAUAAUGCAGAGAAGGACGAAAGGCUUAUUAUUGUCAUUGUGAUCGCUGUUAUGAAGAACAAAUGUUGAUAUGCAAAGACACAGGUCUAGAGGAUUCCAGGAAGUGGGUGGGGCACAAGCCUGGCCUCCCCAGCUUAUUACCUUGUCAGGGAUGCAGGACACAAGGAGAUUCAAAAUGCUGCAAAUGUACAAGACAGCGGCUUAAAAUCAGAAUCCCAAAGAGGAAGGCAUCUCCCACUUGGACCUGAAGAUAUGCCAAACAGGAUUUGAGUUGAGCCUUCACAAAACAGUAGGAAUUUGAUAGAGAAAUAAGAAAGGACUCCAUUCCUGAAUCCAGGCAGGGACUGAGCUAAGGCCAGCAGAAGAGGAGAAAGCAUGCUUUAGGACACGAAACCCAUCAGUUUCAGGGGAGUGAGGGUUCCUGUGUGAGGACACUGGAGUGUCAAGCCAGAAAAGGAAGUGGAAGGGAAUCAGGAGUCCCUCAAGCUUUGGACUUCAUUUUGUAGGAGAU
rnacentral:lncRNA from 1 species